rnacentral:ncRNA from 1 species
CGAUUGGGUUGCUUAAGAACAGAGAGGAAGGUGAGAUCAUGGAAUGUUGGAAUUUUGGUUAAAGGAGUGUGGAAUCAAGUCCACCUGCCGAAAGCAAAUUGGCCCUUAUAAAUGGGAUGCCGUUUAAGUUGUUUACCCUAUAUCAUUCCCGUUAAAGGUGAAUAAUUUAUAUUACUUGUAAAUAUAAAUUUUAAAAAUUCUAGUGAGUAGGAAAGUACAAUGGUAUGCGUAGAAGUGUUUGGCGUAAGCAUGCAUGAAGCUACUAUUGUAGCAGAUCUUGGUGGUUAGUAGCAAAUAAUCGAAUGAGACCUUGGAGGACUGAAGUGGAGAAGGGUUUCGUGUGAACAGUGGUUGAUCACGAGUUAGUCGGUCCUAAGUUCAAGGCGAAAGCCGAAAAUUUUCAAGUAAAAAUAAAAUUUACUAUAUGUAAAAAUUAUAUACUUGAAUAAUUUUGAACGAAAGGGAAUACGGUUCCAAUUCCGUAACCUGUUGAGUAUCCGUUUGUUAUUAAAUAUGGGCCUCGUGCUCAUCCUGGCAACAGGAACGACCAUAAAGAAGCCGUCGAGAGAUAUCGGAAGAGUUUUCUUUUCUGUUUUAUAGUCGUACUACCAUGGAAGUCUUUCGCAGAGAGAUAUGGUAGAUGGGCUAGAAGAGCAUGACAUAUACUGUUGUGUCGAUAUUUUCUCCUCGGACCUUGAAAAUUUAUGGUGGGGAUACGCAAACUUCUCAACAGGCCGUACCAAUAUCCGCAGCUGGUCUCCAAGGUGAAGAGUCUCUAGUCGAUAGAAUAAUGUAGGUAAGGGAAGUCGGCAAAUUAGAUCCGUAACUUCGGGAUAAGGAUUGGCUCUGAAGAUUGAGAUAGUCGGGCUUGAUUGGGAAACAAUAAUAUGGUUUAUGUGCUCGUUCUGGGUAAAUAGAGUUUCGAUCAUUUAUGGUUGUAACUUGUUCCCCGGAUAGUUAGUUACGUAUCCAAUUGUGGAACUUUCUUGCUAAAAUUUUUUAAGAUUCUAUUUGGGUUAAACAAAUAACUUCUGUAAUUAUAUUACGUAUUACAAUUUAACUAUCCAUUCAUAAUUUGGCUUGGUAUUGGUGUAAUCCGAAACUGUCAACAUAAUCCCUAAGCAUGUCGCUGCACGUUCCCGGGUAUAAAGAUCUAGUAAAUUACAGUGUAAUAUAU